rnacentral:piRNA from 1 species
UCCUAGAGGACAUUGGGUGGCAGCCUGGA